UACGUAGGGUGCAAGCGUUAAUCGGAAUUACUGGGCGUAAAGCGUGCGCAGGCGGUUGUGUAAGACAGAUGUGAAAUCCCCGGGCUCAACCUGGGAACUGCAUUUGUGACUGCACAGCUGGAGUGCGGCAGAGGGGGAUGGAAUUCCGCGUGUAGCAGUGAAAUGCGUAGAUAUGCGGAGGAACACCGAUGGCGAAGGCAAUCCCCUGGGCCUGCACUGACGCUCAUGCACGAAAGCGUGGGGAGCGAACCGG
rnacentral:rRNA from 1 species